rnacentral:lncRNA from 1 species
CAGAGAGUGAAGCCUGAGCUGCAGGAGGAGAGCCUGCAGGCCUCCUGGGUAGAACUGCACCUUCACAAUAAAGGGAAUGGAAGAAGUGUUUCAGCCUCAGUGCCAAUUUAUAAUGGUGACAUGAAAAAAUACUGCUGGAUUUGCAGUAUGAGUCUCGGUAGAGAUCACUCCAAGAGUCAUCCCUGUGACAGCCCACCUCAUUCAAAGACACCACGGGAUACGCAUAAGGCUUCUAAAACAGACACCCAAAGCAUUUGAGAGAAAAACAGCUCUCAAAUGAGCAAGAUUUUAUUGAGAGAAAUAAAGAAGUUAAAAGCAUCUUAAGAAAAACUCAAAUUAGACAUAAGAUUUAUCGAAAUAGCCAGAAAAUAUUCCCCUGAAAAGAAUUUCUAAGCAUCCAGAGUGCACAGCUACUCUCAGCAUGAGAAACAUGAGCAUUAUAAAGAAAGUGUGCAUAUUUUCAGCAGAAUUUCAUAAGGUUUCUCUUUCAUCUCUGUUGCUCUCUCAUCUCCUAGCCAUUGAAUGGGGGAUCUAUGUUGAAAUACAUCUGACAACUUCCACCAGCACUUUU